rnacentral:misc_RNA from 1 species
GCAAACUUGGUCAUUUAGAGGAAGUAAAAGUCGUAACAAGGUUUCCGUAGGUGAACCUGCGGAAGGAUCAUCAAAAAUUUUUUUGAACUUUUUUAUGGAUCAAAAAAAAUCCAUAAAUUCACCUUGUGUGCAACUACUGAAAAAGGUAGCCUUCUGGGAGAUUGGGAUUUUCUGAUUCACAUAUCUCCCAAAAGGUAUAUUCAAUCUACAAUUUUUUUUACGACUAAAAAAUUGAUUAAUUUAAUAAAAAAAGAUAACUUUCAACAACGGAUCUCUUGGCUCUCGCAUCGAUGAAGAACGCAGC